rnacentral:lncRNA from 1 species
UGCACAAUUUCUUUUUUUUUAACCCCUUACUGGAAGGUAAUUAGGGUCAAUACCGUGUAUUGGUUCCAAGGCAAAAGAGCAGUGAGGGCUAGGCAAUGAGGGCUAAGUGACUCAUCUGGGGACACACAGCUAGUGUCUGAGGCCAGAUUUGAACCCAGGACUUCCCAUCCCUAGACCUUGCUCUCAAUCCACUGAGCCAUUUAGCUGCCACAAUACAUAAUUUCUAAUUCCUAAAUUCUAAAUUCUUGUAAAGAACCUUGGAAAGGGAGUAAGCUGCUCAAGCUAAUCUUGAAUGUCCACUUGUUGGAAAUACAAAAGAAGGAAUAUAUUCUUCACAUAUCUUACACAAGAAGCUGAACUACACUUGAUUCAUUGAGCUUCUGGAUAGAGCUACAAUCCCCAGGAAAGGAAACAACAAUGAAAGAACAAGCCACCUCAUGGAAUACGUUUUAUAGAACUGAGCAUCUAUUUCCUUUCUAUUAAGAAACUCCAAAUCAUCCCAAGAAAAUUAAACC